UACGUAGGGGGCAAGCGUUGUCCGGAAUUACUGGGCGUAAAGGGAGCGUAGGUGGCAAAGUAAGUCAGAUGUGAAAGCCCGUGGCUUAACUGCGGGAUUGCAUCAGAAACUGCUUUGCUAGAGUGCAGGAGAGGUAAGUGGAAUUCCUAGUGCAGCGGUGAAAUGCGUAGAUAUUAGGAGGAACAUCAGUGGCGGAGGCGGCUUACUGGACUGUAACUGACACUGAGGCUCGAAAGCGUGGGGAGCAAACAGGAUUAGA
rnacentral:rRNA from 1 species